rnacentral:rRNA from 1 species
UACGGGGGGAGCAAGCGUUGUUCGGAUUUACUGGGCGUAAAGGGCGCGUAGGCGGCCAUCUAAGUCAGACGUGAAAUCCCCCGGCUUAACCUGGGAACUGCGUCUGAUACUGGACGGCUCGAGUUUGGGAGAGGGAUGUGGAAUUCCAGGUGUAGCGGUGAAAUGCGUAGAUAUCUGGAGGAACACCGGUGGCGAAGGCGGCAUCCUGGACCAACACUGACGCUGAGGCGCGAAAGCUAGGGGAGCAAACGGG